GGAAGUGGUUAAGUCGCUGGUGCACUUUCUGGAUUUCAAAUCCUUGAGCAGAUAUCUAUCGGUACCUGCGGUGGGUUCGAUUCCCAUACACUUCC
rnacentral:tRNA from 1 species